UCCGUAGGUGAACCUGCGGAAGGAUCAUUACCGAGUGCGGGCCCUCUGGGUCCAACCUCCCAUCCGUGUCUAUUGUACCCUGUUGCUUCGGCGUGGCCGGCUUUCCCCCCCGGGGGGAGCCACCAGUGCCCGCCGGAGACUCCAACAUCUGAACACUGUCUGAAGAUUGCAGUCUGAGUUUAUAGUUAAACAAUCGUUAAAACUUUCAACAACGGAUCUCUUGGUUCCGGCAUCGAUGAAGAACGCAGCGAAAUGCGAUAACUAAUGUGAAUUGCAGAAUUCAGUGAAUCAUCGAGUCUUUGAACGCACAUUGCGCCCCCUGGUAUUCCGGGGGGCAUGCCUGUCCGAGCGUCAUUGCUGCCCUCAAGCACGGCUUGUGUGUUGGGCCACCGUCCCGGGAACUUCUGGUCCCUGGGACGGGCCCGAAAGGCAGCGGCGGCACCGUGUCUGGUCCUCGAGCGUAUGGGGCUUUGUCACCCGCUCCCGUAGGUCCAGCCGGCGGCCAGCCUCGCAACCAACCAUUCUUUAACCAGGUUGACCUCGGAUCAGGUAGGGAUACCCGCUGAACUUAAGCAUAUCAAUAAGCGGAGGA
rnacentral:rRNA from 1 species